rnacentral:rRNA from 1 species
GAUGAACGCUAGCGGCAGGCUUAAUACAUGCAAGUCGAGGGGCAGCGCAGGGUAGCAAUACCUGGGCGGCGACCGGCAAACGGGUGCGGAACACGUACAGAACCUUCCUUCGAGCGGGGGAUAGCCCAGAGAAAUUUGGAUUAAUACCUCAUAGUAUAAUGGUGUGGCAUCACAUUAUUAUUAAAGAUUUAUCACUUGAAGAUGGCUGUGCGUAUGAUUAGGUAGUUGGCGGGGUAACGGCCCACCAAGCCUACGAUCAUUAAAUGGUGUGAGGCCACGACCAGUAACACGGGCACUGAGACACGGGCCCGACUCCGACUGGAGGCAGCAGUAAGGAAUAUUGGUCAAUGGACGCAAGUCUGAACCAGCCAUGCCGCGUGGAGGAUGAAGGUCCUCUGGAUUGUAAACUUCUUUUUUCUGGGGCGAAAACCGGUUUUUCUAAACCAUUUGACAGUACCAGAAGAAUAAGCACCGGCUAACUCCGUGCCAGCCGCCGCUGUAACAC